CACAAUUCAAUGCUUAACAAUUCUUAUAGAUCAACAAUUCAAAGCUUAACAACUAUGAUAAAUCAACAAUUAUACAGUUAACAUGAUAAUCAACAAAUAAACAGUUAACAAAUAUAAAAUAUACCAACAAUAUUAGGUUAACUUGAUCAAGAUUUAAUACAUACAAGUUAAACAUUUAAUAGCUACCAUGAUCUAAGUAUUCAAACAAACGGAUGCGAACAGUUCAUUCCAAGCUUUAUAAAACUAUAUUUGUUGAAUUCUUUAUAAAUUAAAAUUACCCAAUCCAUUCUACUUUAUAGCAAAAAUAACUCUCUUCUUUCAAAGUAAAACUAUUCUUUUUUUUUUUAAUAUUGAGUGACACUGUUACUUAUAUCUGAUUCAAAGCUUUCUAUAAAAAAAAUUGUCCAAUACACAUGAUUCUUAAGAAAACUUUUAUAUCAUUUAACUCAAGAAUGAACUGAAAAGGACAAGAUUGUGGUGUCCUUCAUCAAAUCAGUUUUCAUAUAAAGACACCUUUCAAAACAUACACAAUGUGUCAAUUCAAUUUCCCAGUAAAAUCAGGUUUUUAAAGCAUGAUGAUUUUAAAAUGCAUUUCACCAAUUACAGUCCAUAAUCAUAAAAAUGUAAGAAGAAAAAGGAAUGGAGGAUAAUGAAGAAUUUUCCUAUUGAAAUUAAAAUUAUAUUUGGUAUUCAUGUUUAAUCUCAAUCAUAUUACUGGGAUUGCAUGUACAUGAUUCACUCUAUAGAAUAAUAUAGUUGAUGUAAAAUGGAGUAUAAAUAUACUUCUAAAAAUAAAGAAAAGUCCCAA
rnacentral:lncRNA from 1 species